rnacentral:rRNA from 1 species
UACGUAGGGGCAAGCGUUGUCCGGAUUUACUGGGCGUAAAGCGCACGUAGGCGGAUUGUUAAGUCAGAGGUGAAAUCCCGGAGCUCAACUUCGGAACUGCCUUUGAUACUGGCAAUCUAGAGUCCGGAAGAGGUUAGUGGAAUUCCCAGUGUAGAGGUGAAAAUUCGUAGAUAUUGGGAAGAACACCAGUGGCGAAGGCGGCUAACUGGUCCGGUACUGACGCUGAGGUGCGAAAGCGUGGGGAGCAAACAGG